UGCAAGUCGAGCGGUAAGGCCCUUCGGGGUACACGAGCGGCGAACGGGUGAGUAACACGUGAGCAACCUGCCCCUGACUCUGGGAUAAGCGGUGGAAACGCCGUCUAAUACCGGAUACGACCCGCCACCUCAUGGUGGAGGGUGGAAAGUUUUUCGGUCAGGGAUGGGCUCGCGGCCUAUCAGCUUGUUGGUGGGGUAACGGCCUACCAAGGCGAUUACGGGUAGCCGGCCUGAGAGGGCGACCGGCCACACUGGGACUGAGACACGGCCCAGACUCCUGCGGGAGGCAGCAGUGGGGAAUAUUGCGCAAUGGGCGAAAGCCUGACGCAGCGACGCCGCGUGGGGGAUGACGGCCUUCGGGUUGUAAACCUCUUUUACCACCAACGCAGGCUUCCAGUUCUCUGGAGGUUGACGGUAGGUGGGGAAUAAGGACCGGCUAACUACGUGCCAGCAGCCGCGGUAAUACGUAGGGUCCGAGCGUUGUCCGGAAUUAUUGGGCGUAAAGAGCUCGUAGGCGGCGUGUCGCGUCUGCUGUGAAAGACCGGGGCUUAACUCCGGUUCUGCAGUGGAUACGGGCAUGCUAGAGGUAGGUAGGGGAGACUGGAAUUCCUGGUGUAGCGGUGAAAUGCGCAGAUAUCAGGAGGAACACCGGUGGCGAAGGCGGGUCUCUGGGCCUUACCUGACGCUGAGGAGCGAAAGCAUGGGGAGCGAACAGGAUUAGAUACCCUGGUAGUCCAUGCCGUAAACGUUGGGCGCUAGGUGUGGGGACUUUCCACGGUUUCCGCGCCGUAGCUAACGCAUUAAGCGCCCCGCCUGGGGAGUACGGCCGCAAGGCUAAACUCAAAGGAAUUGACGGGGGCCCGCAC
rnacentral:rRNA from 1 species